UGGGCACUCAUCGACGAAAUGUAGGCAUAAAACGACUAUAGAGAAGAUUAGAAAAGUAGAACGUUUACGUCGCUUAUUUAGUUAAUUAUUUCGCGUUGCGUAAUAGACAGCUCUGUCGUGACGAUACAUGCCCGUUGUGAAAAUAGUAACUUAUGCAAUGUAAAACUCAUCGGUAAAUAUUAUCAAUCGACACGGCGAGGAUCGAUAAAUUCAGAGCGGAAACUAACACGUAUAGCAAAUUGUACACGCUUCCUGUCUCCUUAAUUGUAUAUUAUGCAACAAUAUACGAGUCGAAACAACAUCAGGAUCAACGAAUUAAUCUGAGCCUAACGACGAGCUCGUUCAGGAGAGAAAGAGACAAAGACCACGAGACCCUGGAGCCCACAGCUUCGGCCAACGGAUUUAAUGAUUAUUACCGCGCCGAUGAUUGCACCAUAAAACAACAUAUUGCUGUACCUGGAACUCCACGGCGAUGAAACUUCGGCUAGCUCGUAUAACCUCCGGGGCGAUAAUAGACCUGCCCUCGUUUCCGGUUGUUCUCUACGCGCCGCCGUCGAUGCUGCACUCGAAGGUGCAAACGUCACGGUUUUACCACUCGAACAUGCUCGAGAACAAAGUUUAGAAAAUGGUCGAAGGUGUGAGGAGUUUGUAUGAGCCAGACAUCGAAGGAGAAAAACAUGGCUGGAAUACUACAACGACUAUGUUAGUCCAGUUUUCCUGAUUUCACUCGUUCGUUUCGCAUUUGUCAUCAAGUCAGAGCCGUACCUUUUGAAGAACGAUUUUCUAAACGUGGUUC
rnacentral:misc_RNA from 1 species